GGGGAAUUUUGGACAAUGGGCGAAAGCCUGAUCCAGCAAUGCCGCGUGUGUGAAGAAGGCCUUCGGGUUGUAAAGCACUUUUGUCCGGAAAGAAAUCCUCUGGGUUAAUACCUCGGGGGGAUGACGGUACCGGAAGAAUAAGCACCGGCUAACUACGUGCCAGCAGCCGCGGUAAUACGUAGGGUGCAAGCGUUAAUCGGAAUUACUGGGCGUAAAGCGUGCGCAGGCGGUUUUGUAAGACGGAUGUGAAAUCCCCGGGCUCAACCUGGGAACUGCAUUCGUGACUGCAAGGCUAGAGUAUGGCAGAGGGGGGUAGAAUGCCACGUGUAGCAGUGAAAUGCGUAGAGAUGUGGAGGAAUACCGAUGGCGAAGGCAGCCCCCUGGGCCAAUACUGACGCUCAUGCACGAAAGCGUGGGGAGCAAACA
rnacentral:rRNA from 1 species